rnacentral:rRNA from 1 species
UACGUAGGGGGCAAGCGUUGUCCGGAAUUAUUGGGCGUAAAGAGCGCGUAGGCGGUCCGAUAAGUCGGCUGUGAAAGUCAAGGGCUCAACCCUUGAAAGCCGGCCGAUACUGUCGGACUAGAGUCCGGAAGAGGCGAGUGGAAUUCCCGGUGUAGCGGUGAAAUGCGUAGAGAUCGGGAGGAACACCGGAGGCGAAGGCGGCCAGCUGGCCCUGACCUGACGCUGAGGCGCGAAGGCGUGGGGAGCAAACAGG